UCUCUCUCUCUUUUAACCAAAAGUAUCCAACAUGUGGUUUAUGACUGUAACAUACAGUAAACUACAAACUCUAUACCAAAAGAAGCUGGAUGAAAUAAAAAGCACAAUAAAACAAAAUAAAUAUUUCUCCAAAAAAUACAAAUGGCCACAACAUGUAUGAAAAACAACUGAACAACACUAAUGACAAGGAAAACACCAUUCAGAAUCCCAGACAUAUGUCCCACUGCCCAGUUAGAAAGGCUAUUAUCAGAUUGGGUAAAAGUGGCAAAGGGUGCCCAAAAUAUAGAUAAAGGGUUCCCCUGGUAUCCCCUGGUGGGGUAUAAUUUAGUCCACUUUCCUGGUGAAGCAUCAUAUAGACAUAUUUAGGAAGAUCAGACAAUUUCAAUACUUGCUUAUGUGCUCAGAUAUGUUGAUUCUAUUGUUAAACUUCCAUUAGUAAAAUCAUUAAUUUAUUAAUUCUUGAUAUAUCUUUUAAGGAUUAAAAAUUCAUGCUGAGUUAAAUAGUGCUAUAACAUAUAACACAUAAUACAGUGAGGUCCCAUUUCAAAUAAACAAAGGCCUACUCUCACAACUUUCACUAAGGUGUGUUGGACUAUAUAUGUUAAAAUCAUUGCCUAUUUCUCGACCGUGGGGCAUACUGAAUUCAUUUGUAUAAAAUGAGAAUUUAUAUAGAUACUGAUACAUCUGCUGUGGUCUAAAGACUACCCUUCUGUUUGUUAGAGUGUCCAACCAAUGAGAACAGUAACCACUUUUUCAGGUCAUGGUUUAGGAGUUUUCUUAAAUGAUAUUCAUAGCAUUAUUAAAAGGUGUGAAAUAAAAAUCUUAAGUGUAAUGUUAUCAAUGACAUGUGAAUUAAUGUGGUUUUCAUUUUUUCUCAUGCAACUGCAAAAACCGGAGAGGGAUCACUGAAGAAGACACAUAAAUGUGAGCUGAUUUGUUAAUGGUGGAACUGAAUUCAACAAGAAUCUCCUCUAAUGGGCACUUCCCAUGAUGCCAUUGCAUCAACAUAAAUCUCCUCUAAUGAAGGCUCCAUGUUACAUCAUUGGGUUGACAUAAUGGUGCCGGUAACUGAACAAGAACCUCGUCCGGUGGACACUUCUGGUGAUCCCAUUUUGCUGACAUGAAGAGCACUAAUGGUGGUGAGCGAGACUCUCUUGAUCAACAAUUCCCAUGAAGUCAUUGUGUUGACAAAAACUAAUGUAAGUGCUGAAAUUAUCUUGUAUGUAUUACUGAUUAACAAUGCUCAAAAUAUAUGUUGUAUUUUGAAAAAGAAGACAAUAAAAUAAAAAGAUUUUACUCUC